AAACCUAACCCAACAGAAUAACUCAAUGCAAUGCAAUAUUACAAAACAACUUAACUUAUAAAAUAUGGCCAUAAAGGCAACUCGAAUCUCAAAAUAGAAUAUUUACAUAUAUACAUAGAUGAGAGACUCAAAACUAACUGACUGACUGUCUGUCUCUGAAGCCUCUAAAAUACUGAGAUGGAUGUUGGGACAGACCCCGCAACAUCCUAAUAAAACAAAAACUAAGAACACAAAAUAAUUGAGUCCUCCGGAAUGCAAGGAGGCUCACCACUGACUCUGGAGUGCUCAGCUGGAUCAACG
rnacentral:lncRNA from 1 species